rnacentral:rRNA from 1 species
UACGUAGGGUGCAAGCGUUGUCCGGAAUUAUUGGGCGUAAAGAGCUCGUAGGCGGUUUGUCGCGUCGAAUGUGAAAACCCGGGGCUCAACCCCGGGCCUGCAUUCGAUACGGGCAGACUAGAGUUCGGUAGGGGAGUCUGGAAUUCCUGGUGUAGCGGUGAAAUGCGCAGAUAUCAGGAGGAACACCGGUGGCGAAGGCGGGACUCUGGGCCUUACCUGACGCUGAGGCGCGAAAGCUAGGGGAGCAAACAGG